CCUCUCCUCUUCGUUGUGUAGCCCCCAAAUCGGAACCCUACCGUAGCCGCGACUUCCAAAUCUUCUUUUAAUUAAGAAGCUCUCCUCCGGAUUCAAGCAGUCUGCCCAUGGCGGCGAUGGCGUUCUCUGCUCCGAUAGGCACGGGGAGGCUUGCGUCGUUCAUCGGUGUCGAAUGCAGGUCUGAUGGCGAUUGCACCUGGUUCGAUGGUGAUCUUCUUUACCAUUCUCUUGUUUUCGUUUCCCUUUCUUCCUCUCCUCUUCUUUUCCUAACUCCUAAAUCGGAACCGUCGACUUUCAAAUCCCAAUCCCUCGCCCCGAUCCAAGCAAUCCCACGGGUACGACGAGACCUGCGCUGUCGCUUCUCGGUGGCGGAUUGGAGCAUUGGACAAUCUCCGACAAUUCCUCCUGGUUCGGUGGUUUUGGGCUUCUUAGGUUGAUCUAUUCGCUGGUUUUUCUUGUUUGAUUCCCUAGAGGCGUGAGAUCGCAAAGCCGCCGUUAUUUCUAUUAGGAGAUUGUGGUCGUUCAUGAAGGGAGGGACUACCUGAUCAUCCGAUGAUUGUCACACCUGGGGCUCGUCAUGAUCAGGAAGCCGACACAAGCUGCAAACUAUUCAUUGACCAAGAUGAAGGCACUCUCUUCAUUGUGUUUCGUCGAGAGCGAAUUAUGAGCGGGGGCGAAAUGUGGUAUGCGGCCGGAUGUCUGGUACAUCGCUCUGCACAUCUCAUUGCUUUAACAUUCAUUUUACACCCCAUUAACUCAGCAUGAGGUACCAUUAACACCUAUUAUAAGAGUUUUAAUGCAUUAUACUCAUCCAUUAAAUCAGUCCGUUUCUUAUACGGUAAAUGAUAUACACGCAAAAUUUUCAGGUAUCAUUUACACGCAUGAUGAAACAUCAUAGGUGCAAUUUGUCGAAUUGGACGCAGGAUUAACAGGGAAAAGAUUACAUGCUUAGAAUGCUAGGAUGGUCAAUAUGUUAAUUUGUAAGGUGUUAGGUAAAUAUCCAAUAUGCCGCAAGUUUGGUGUGCUUUUGUUUCGAGAGGAUAGGACAGAUACUUACGAAAAAGGCAUUUCCAUUUAAUUACGGCCUUAUAUUGCGCGAUCUUUUGGGCCAAGCAUCAUUGUGUUGCAGGUCCAUUGAAAUCCCAGUUAUUCUUGGGUCCUACGUGGCUCCAGGCUUAAUUUGAGAUCUAUGUACCAGCUCCUGUAGGCUUCCUUCCCUUUUCCUAUAUGGCCCUCGGUCUAUUUGCCUCUUGAUGCCCAUAUUAUUUGUAUUUGUACU